ACAAUGCGGGACUAUCAGUCUUGCAAUUGGAUUGAGAACAAUGUACAACUCUUAUCGAUAAGCCAUUGGAGGGCAAGUCUGGUGCCAGCAGCCGCGGUAAUUCCAGCUCCAAUAGCGUAUAUUAACGUUGUUGCAGUUAAAAAGCUCGUAGUUGAAGUGUGGGUGGUGCCAUCUGUGAAGCUUCGGUCUCUAGGAUAUUCAUCACCCCCUUCCAGUAUCCAGUAGUGGGUAUUCAGUUACUUACUAUUGUGUGUUGGUCAUUUACUGUGAGAAAAUUAGAGUGUUCAAAGCAGGCGUUUGCUUGAAUAGAUUAGCAUGGAAUAAUAAUUGAAGGCUUUCGUGUUCGAUUUGAUUGGUUUGUUCAUGGAAGCAAGGUUAAAAGGAACAGUUGGGGGUAUUCAUAUUCACUAGUUAGAGGUGAAAUUCUCGGAUUUAUGGAA
rnacentral:rRNA from 1 species